rnacentral:lncRNA from 1 species
UCUACACGCAACAUUUGACAGAACACGGAACUAUGCUUCAGAACUACUUUACCGAGGAUGGAAACAAUUUUUUUGUCAUUGAUCUCAUGGCCAAACAUGGAACUAGAAGGUAAGCAACUGAGACAUCCGCAGGAAGAGCUUUCAAGCAUCAAGCAGUCUGCCACAUUUCACUGAAACCGUAGACCAAAUCAGUUUUGACUGAAAAGGAAUCAAUUUCUAACUCCCUCACACCCAGCUUGAAGAAACAAACCUGGGCAAGGAACGGCUGGAAAAGUGGAGAUAUGGGAUACCCCACUCGCAACCUCCCAAGAAGCAGCCGGAGUAUAUAACUGAACCGGAUAAACCCGAAGCGGGAAAUUGGAAGGGAGGCACAGUAGGAGGAGCAAGUCCAGAAGUAAUUAAACUUACACACACAAAAUAUCUUCAGUUCAUCACAGAAAACACAUUCAAAGUACCAUCAUAGUACACAGUACCAAACUACCAAUCUUACAAUUCUGUUGUAAUGUCAACCUCGGGGCCACUACAGAGGAGCGGGAGCUUGGCGGCAUUGAUGGAGGAGGCCACCGUGAGGAGGAGCUGGGCCUACCAUGGUGAGGAGGGCGCGAUGCUGAUGCUCGUCGGCCGCUUUGCCGGAUCUGACUCCGUGGGAGGGGGUUGGGAGGUGGGAGCACGGCGACGCCGAGCUUGAGGAGGAGCGCGGCUCCAGGAGCAGCAUGGGUCGCCUGCACGUCGUCCAUGACCACUGACGGGGGGGUGUGAGAUAAGGGGAAGUGGGGAAGGUGACCGACUGGGG